AUGUCCGGUGACGGGUCAGACGGGAAGAGCAAAGGAGGGGGCAAGUCGCCGCCGAAGACGCCAUCAUCCAAAGCCCCGCUCGCGCGCCUCACCGGCAGCGGAAGCGGCGAGAUCAGGGUGGUGGAGCGCGUCGUGCGCGAGGAGGCGGGCGCCUCCAUGAUGCUCACGCGCACCAACUACAUGGAGUGGGCGCUUGUGAUGCAGGUCAAACUGCAGGUCGCUCGGGUCUGGUCCGCGGUGACCGACGAGGCCGCCGACGAAGACGCCGACCGGCGCGCGCUGCAGAUCAUCCUCACCGGCGUUCCGCUGGAGAUGCUGCGCGUGCUGGCUGCAAAGGACACGGCGAAGACGGCGUGGGAGACGAUCCGGACGAUGCGGAUGGGCAGCGAGCGCGCUCGCGAGGCCAAGGCGCAGGUACGGCGGCGCGAAUUUGAAGAUCUUCGGUUCAAGGACGGAGAGUCUGUUGAGGAUUUCGGGUUGCGCCUCGCCGCCCUCGUCGCGGAUCUGGAGCUAUACGGCGACCCCGUCACCGAGCACAAGGCCGUUCAAAAGUUUCUCCGAGUGGUGCCGCGGAAGUUCCGCCCGAUGGCCAUGGCGAUCGAAUCACUGAUCGAUCUGAAGACCAUGUCGAUCGAGGAACUCGUCGGGCGCUUCUCGGCUUGUGAGGAUUACUACGAUCUCGACGAUGCCACGCAGUCCACCGGGCGCCUCAUGCUCACGCACGAGGAGUGGAUGGCCAGAGAAAAGCACGGCGGCGGCAGCGGAUCGUCAUCCAGUGCGGGCAGCGGCAAGAACAAGUCGCCCGCUAAACCGAAAGGCGCGGGCGGCGGCAAGCCUGCGUCAGGAAACCAGGGUGCAGGUGGAUCGGGAGGCUCAGGCGGCAGGAAGAAGAAAGGCAAAUGCCAUCACUGCGGCAUGCCGGGGCACUGGAAAAAGGAGUGCCGGACGUGGCUUCGUGAGCAGGAGCAGAAAGGCACCCAGGAGCAGGCUAAUCUGGUGCAAGGUGGCGCGGAGCACGACCCAGGUCUGUAUAUGGCUGUGGUCACCACCGUUUCCACGCCACAGAUCGCUGCGCCGCAGGAAGUCUUCCUCAACGAAGAGAAGGUCAUGCCAGUGCCCUCGCCGGACGGAGUGUGGUACUUCGACACCGGCGCCAGUAGCCACAUGAUGGGCGACAGGGGAGUCUUUGCGUUACUUGACGAAAUAGUGCACGGCACGGUGAAGUUCGGAGACGGCUCUGUAGUGGCCAUACAAGGGCGCGGCUCUGUGGUGUUCCGCUGCCAAGGCGGAGGGCAGCGCGUGCUGACGGGCGUCUUCCACAUCCCGAGCCUGCGCACGAAUAUUGUGUCAGUAGGGCAGCUAGACGAAGCAGGCUGUGUCGUCAACAUACAAGAAGGCGUGAUGACCAUCCAGGAUCCAGGACGGCGCACACUGGCACACAUUCGUCGCUCUGGUAAUCGCCUGUACACUGGGGCGUUGGAGAUCGACACGCCCAGGUGCUUGCUGGCACUGGGAGACGACGUGACCUGGCGUUGGCACGCAUGCAUGGGGCAUUUGCAUUUCCGUGCUCUCCGUGCAAUGUCAUCGAAGCAGAUGGUGCGGGGCAUGCCAGUGAUCGACCGCAUCGAAGAAUACUGUGAUGGGUGCGCUCUCGGCAAGCAACAUCACACACCGUUCCCACAAGUCGCCGCGUACCGCUCAGAGCGCGGGCUGGAGCUCGUGCACACUGACCUUUGUGGGCCGAUCGAGCCGACCACACCUGGAGGAAGCAAGUAUUUUCUGCUGAUUGUGGACGACUACAGUCGUUACAUGUGGCUGGAGCUGCUCAAAUCCAAGGACGAAGCCUUUGCACGGUUCAGAAAGGUGCAAACUCUCGCGGAGGCAGAUGGGAGCUGCAAGUUGCGCGCAUUCAGAUCUGAU
rnacentral:rRNA from 1 species